ACGUCCCCGAUCACGUGAUUUUUGCCAAACGAAUCAAGCAUCAGCACAGUGUUUCUGAAGCGCUGUGUUGUUGUUUUUUGAUACAUGCUCCGGAGUUUCAGCUUCAACCAGCCCAUUAUUAAGUAUCAUUAUUAGUACCAGUUGUCAGCUAGUUUAUCUUAGAAGCCGACUUGAGCGUUGGCUUGAUCAGAACAUAUCUAAAAGUUAAAGAACUUGGCGUUUAUGUCGAGGUCCUUGCUAACGUUAACAAAGAAAGCUAACUACGGGCGUGACGUCGGUAUCGGGUGUAUAUAAGGACGUCAUUUUACCUCAAGCUGAGCCUGGAGAACAAAAAUUGGAGCUGCCUGUGUGAGGGAAGCAACAAGAAGUGAUAACUUGGUGCCUGCCAUUUUUGCUGUCCAUCAAGUCCAUCAGCCUCCUUGAGAAGACAUGUCAGCUGUGUUAGGAAGAGCAUGGCGGUGGGUCCGCUCAUGGGGCAGAACUGCCAUAUCAGAGGAGAACACAACAGUCACAGCCAAGGGCCUUAGUAGGUGGACCUCAUGGACCUGGGGAGGAUUUAGACAUCAAAGUGACCAAAGCAUUCCAGUGGAAGAGUUCUGGGAGGCACAAGAGAUGCUUCAGGUAAAAAACAUUGAAGAUCUCUAUGCAGAGAAACAGGAGAUAGAAGCAGAUUCUGAAAAUGUUUCUGGAUGGUGGAAUAAAUUUGUCCCAGGUUAUGUUUUGUGGCCAAGAAAAGCAGAACCAAGUGGAAUAAGACAAAGAAAACGGGAAGCUUGUAGUAGUGGCGAGUGGGAAUGUGAUGUUGAUGGGGACUAUCAAACGCCUCCUCCAUCUCCUCCAUCUUCUGCUUCUCAGCUAAUCUCUCCUUUUCGACUCUUUGUCCAAAGUUGGCAGGUUGAAGUCCUACCAGAGCACUACGAAAUCUGUUUUAACUUUCUUAGACACUUGUUUGACCUGUUUGCUGUCGGCUUUCUAUGGACUGUGUCCUCUCCUGCCAAGCUCAUCCUGGAAGUUUUAGGCAUCCAGGGAUCCCUAAGGCUGUGGUUUCAUGGUAUGGCCAUGUUUUUUGUCUCCACAAUUGGAAUGACAGGAUUACUAUGGUUGAUCCAGGAGUACCUUCCCCAGUUUGCGCUGAUCUAUGGCAUCAUACAGGCAUUGGUGCUUUCUGUCAGUGUUCGACAAAAUGUGACGCUUAGUGUCAAAGAAGAUGAACAACAGGACAAAGAGGUUAAGGAGACUGAUGUGAUAACAGAGAGCAAAGAACUCAAAACUAGUGUGUUGAGGUCAAGCUGAAGACAAAUAAAGAUGGAAUAUUCUGUUUGUUCAAUAUUCAGGAGCAUCUGUACUGGACGUCCUGUAUGUGUUCGACAUCACAAAAGAGACUACACAAACGCACCUUUUAUAAGAUUGAGUAAUAUUUGUUUUGCACACAUACAAACUCCUGAAUCUCUCUCUUCAAACGUUAUACUUCCAUCACUUUAUGACCAAGAAUAUUGAUCUGCAUUUUAUAGAUAUUUAGUCAACUAACUCUGUAAUUGCUGUUGGAAAUAAUGGGGCUUUUGAAUAUUUACAAGGAUAAAAGAGCAAUAUACCCAGUGUUUAGGGAAGAUUCUUUUUAGAUUUUAUGUAUUUAUGUCCUGGGUUGCUUUGUUCACAAUUGACCAUGAGUCAGUUACUUGGUUUGGGGUCAACUUUGAAUCAAAAACACGCCAAAGAUAUUUAAUACAUUACCAUCAGAAAUAAAUAAAUAAACAAAAAAAGGCCUACUGCUACUUGCACUACUACUGCUACUUCACCAAAAGACAUGGUCCUUUUCUUUAGUAAGAAAAUAUUCUGUUUGUAUUGAAGCUUGUAUUUUCUUAAAUUGUUAAGUACCAACUGUGUUACAGUAGACUUGCUAAAAUCCAUCUCCGCCAAACUCAAAUACAGGCUUAUUAUCUAGUUGUAUACAGCAUUAAAGUCCUGGGUCACAAUCUACAUCGUUCUUAUACAUUGUUGGCUUUCAAUUAAAUGCACCUAAAUGAUCAGGUUUACUGCAUGAAAGCCAUACAGUUUCCUAAACUAAGAGGUGACCACAAGAUUCUAAUCCUUAUUCCAUUCAUGUUUGAAUACAAGCUACACUUUUUUUUUUUAAGUUUAACGGUGAAUGUUUCUUAUGUAAAAAAGCAUUGCAUACCUUUGUGCAAAGUGGCUCGAGUACCCACAUGUAAACGUGGCUGCUUGUCAUUAACUCAAUGUUCUUUUCUACUGGUCAAAUGGGGAAUAAAUCAUAAUCUGCUUUAUGAGCCAUGAGUUUAAAUUACAUUUGUUGCACAAGAAAGAACAUACAGUUCGCAGACCCAAGUCUGUAUAGUAUAUGUGCCAUUAAAUUUAUUUUAUUUGAUUUUUUUUCCUCAAAAAUUAGAAAGAAGUUUGCUUGUAACUUGUAUGGAAGUUUGUGGCUGACAGUAUAAAAUAAUGUGAUGAAAGUGUAUCUACUUGUCUGUUGACAAAAAAAAAAUCAACAAUGAUCAAAAAAUUAUCUUGUUCUUGCUAAUUUAUAUUGAACUUAUAAGCAGCUACUGCAUGAAAAUUUGAAUAAUGUAAAAUAUGAAAAACCUGCUUGAGAUUUUUAUCCAAGUUGUGCUUCAAUUUUUGACUUUCGCUAUCAAAAUGUCAGUAGUUUUUAGUGUAAAUGUUUAAUGAAUAAUUUUUGUAUUCGCCUAUACAUUUAAAUUAUGCACAAAUUAAAAAUGAAAUAGGUCGAUUGCAAAGAUUUGUUUUAAUAUCGUCAGCUACAAACCUUCAUUGCAACAAACACACGAGGGCUAAAUCACUGUAGCUAAGGACACACACACUAAGAAACUCAUCCUUCUUUAAAUUAAAGAAUUGGUGGAUAUUGGAGAGUGUCAUUUUAAUUGGGAAGUAAGGAUCUGCUGUGACCUAUUACUGUACUUGUAAUUUAUUAUAUGAGGUCAGAUGUUCCACUACCUAAAUAAAGCCUAUGUGGGAUGUCUGCUUGUGCUGUAGCCUAUUCCGAUUUUUGUGAAUGUGAAAGGUGGUGAUUCUACAUGGCACCGAAGAGGCAUGCUUCUUUUCUGGGGCUAAUGACAAAUUUGAUUUUGCUUUCUAGCAAGCAUUUUCAUGAUUAACCACAUUUAAGCUCAGUUUUGGUACAUUAACACUAGAGCUUUUAUUGCUCUUUCCAACCUUUGUCCAUACAGUUUAAAUAACAAUUAUAAUUUAUUCCAGUUCACUGUAAGCAUUUAUUAAUAUGAUUGUUCUAAAUCACAAAGGCAGCAUGAAGUAGCAAAAAGGUAAGCAGAACAGACCAAUAAAAAAGUCCAAUCAUUGUUAUAGUCUAUUUCAGCAAAUUUUUAGUAUUUUCUGUUUAUCUCAUUCAUGUUAGCCAUGCACCUUACUCGUGUUCUAAAAUUAGAGAUAGGAUGAACCUUUACUCAUCCCACAGUGGGGAACUGUUGCAGCAGUACACAAAGAAAUGAGAGAUUACAGUAUGUAAUCAUUUUAAUAGAACUAUAAUUUAGUUUAGUAUUUAGACUAAAUUUAUAAUUUAGUCACAACAGCAGUACAGAUAAGCGAGAAUACAGCUACAGAACAGUUUGUGUUGGCACAGUACAAAGCAGUACAGUACAGUUAGAGUGAGUAUGAGGUCAUUGCAGGGUUAUUGCACGGUAAUGGGUAUAAGAUUUGUACCGGUAACAAUAUACAUGAUUGUUCACAGAUUUACACAAAUAUUGUGCAGAGCAGGUUGCUAUAUAAACCACUGAUGCAGUGGGUGAGUGACUGUGGUGGGACGUGGUCAACAGUUCUGAUUGUACAGUCUGACAGCAGCAGGUAGGAAGGAUCUACGAUAUCUCUCCUUCACACAGCGAGGGUGGAUCAGUCUGCUACUGAAGCUGCUCUCCAGAGCCAAAGCGUUUGAGUUCACUCAUGUUGACGUUUAGAUUGUCCUGUGUUUAAACCUUGUCUGUUACCUGUUUUGUCUUUUUAGUUACUACCUUGUUACCUGUGUUUUAUUUUAGAGAUUGCCUGUGUUUCUGUAUCACUUUUUUAUUAGUGGAGAGACCUAUGGUAGAAAGUUUGUUUGUGGUUUUAAUAUCUGCAUUACCAAGACUUUAUUACUAGUUCUUCUUAUCUUAUUUUGGUUUUCAACUGACUCGGUCACCUUAAUUUUUAUGAACAGGUUGAUUUUAUUGUAGAUGAUGCUGCAGCUUCUAUUAGCAUACUAUUUUGGACACAGUGGCUCCUCCUCUGAAGAAGGAAGUGAAUCAGAGGAGAUUAGCUCCAUGGUAUAAUUCAGAGAUGUGCAGCCUAAAAGCACAGGACCAGACAAGUAGAAAGACAAUGGCGUUUCAACAAAAUAAAUGUAAACUGCAUUGCAUGGAAGGACAGUCUAAUAAUACUUUUAAAAAUAAGCACUGCUAGAAAAACAAACCUAAAACAACCUCAGGUUUCUUUUCAGCACUGUAGCUAGGCUUUUACCUUUUUAAGAGUACUUUCCCCUUAAAUCUCAGCAGCAAUGACUUUAUGAACUACUUUACUAAUAAAAUGACCACCAUUAGAGAAAACAUUUAUCAGUGUCUUCCUCCAAAUGACAGAAAUCACUGUCUAAAUUCAUUUUUAUUUAUUUUUCAGUCCUCUGUCUUAUCUAGACAGCUUCUCCCCCAUAUCUCACAUGGAGUUAACCUCAAUAAUGAAGUCUUCCAAGUCGUCUACUUGUUUUUUAGACCCAAUCCUAACCAGAUUACUCUAUGUACCACAGGCUUUUAAGGUGGCUGUGGUCAAACCUUUAUUGAAAAAUACCUACUCUGGACCCUGGAGAACUAGCCAACUAUAGGCCCAUUUCAAAUUUACCCUUCAUCUUUAAGGUUCUUGAAAAAAUAGUAGGAAACAGUAGGAAGAUUUUCAGUCCGGAUUUAGAAAACAUCAUAGCACAGAAACAGCUCUGGUUGGAGUCACUAAUGAUCUUUUCUUAGCUUCAGACAAUGGUCUAGUUUCUGUCCUUGUCCUGUUAGAUCUUAGUGCUACAUUUGAUACAAGUGACCACAGCAUUCUAUUACAGAGACUGGAACAAAGCAUCGGAAUUAAAAGAACAGCACUGGGGUGGUUUAAAUCCUAUUUGUUGGAAAAAUUUCACUUUGUUCAAGUCAGUAAUAAAUCCUUGGGGGGGCUGGAACCUAUUAGCGAGAGGCGGGGUACACCCUGGACAGGUCGCCAGUCCAUCACAGGGCCACACAUAUACAUACAAACAACCAUUCACAACUUUUUUUUUUUGAAUGACCAAUCAACCUAAUGCAUGUUUUUGGACUGUGGGAGGAAGCUGGAGAACCCAGAGAGAACCCACACGAACAUGGGAAGAACAUGCAAACUCCACACAGAAAGGCACCCGGUUGGCCUCCGGGAAUUGAACCCAGGACCUUCUAGCUAUGAGGCAACAGUGCUACCGCACCACCAUGAUGAAACAGAUCAUGUAGUCAUAAUUCAAAGUUGUUUAAAAGUUGUAAAAAGUAUUGGAUAUCCCAAAAUCCUCACAGAUACAACCGGCGUUUUUAUUGUUGGGCCUAAAGUCACAGAGAGACACUAUUAUAGAUAAAUAGAGUACUUUAUUAAUCCCACAACAGGGAAAUUUCUUCAGGCAGCCAUGCUAGCGGCGUCAUCCGACGGUUGAAGCAAGAUUGCAAUAAUACACUACAGUAGCAAGGUUGGACCAAGAUGUUUACAGGUCAGUCAAACAGUUGUCCUUGAAGGGAGACACAAUAAUAUAAAGAAGAUACUUUUUUUUUUAAUACUAAUGUCCCACACCACUUCAGCACCGCAGCAGUGGCAAAAGGGUUCGGCCUCAUUUAGCUGGUAGAAUCCGUCCCUGAAACGUAGCGUCCAAUUCACAGACAGGCCAAUAAAGCUGCUUUAUUCCAGUUUACUGUAAGCAUUUAUGAAUAUAAUUGUUCUAAAUCAGAAAGACUCGCCAGUCUCUGCACCACCAAAGUAUUUUCUUUUACUAGUUUGCUUUGGUUCUAAACUUGUGCUUGGUUAUUUUCACUCUUGUCACAAACGGUGCAAGUGUGCAAGCAAACACGACCAGAUCAUCAAACCAAUCAGCAGCGCUUCUGAUGUGAUUGACAGAGAGGAGGAGCCAAUCAGCUACGGGCGAAAACAGUUUCUGGUGAUGUGCACAUCAAUCAAAACGAAAUCAAAACAUGUCAUGAUCUCAUCAGUCAAUGAUCGCCAAGUGGGACAUGUCCUCACUAAUCAUAGCAGUCGGGCGUGUGUCUUGUGUCUUGACAUCCGUCAACCCCCGCGGUACCUAUGCCAUCUCAAGCCUUAGUAAACAAGUGUUCAUUCUGUCUGCAGAUGUUAUCCACCUAUCUCUUGUUAUCCUCCAAAUGGCCUGAGAUCUUACUGGUCAGUCCUGCAAUCUGAGCAAUCCGAAUAGGCUGAGAUGUUACUGAUCAGUCCUUCAACCCGGGUCAUCCUCUGAUGUAAUUCCUUCAAAUGUGCUGAGAUGUUUUUUUAUCAGUCCAUCAAUACUUCAAUGUAAUUCCAUCAGCCGAGUAUCCAUGGACCCCAGGGGCAUUUGUAACUCUACGGCCGGUGGACAUGCCAAUGAGCUGGCAGCAGAUUUCCCGAUUUUCCGAUAAAGCAGAAGUGAAUCAAAUAGCCACUCUGGAUGACAUAACAUUAGCCUUAGAUUCUACCGUGAACCUUGGUGUCAUCUUUGACCAGGAUCUCUCUUUUAUAUCAUACUUUAAAGAAAUCCGCCCACUUUAGUUUUUCAUUCAUUCAUUCAUUCUAAAAUUAGAAGCAUCCUCUCAGAGUGAUGCAGAGAAACUGAUCCAUGAAUUUGUUACCUCUAGGCUGGACUGUAACUGCUUACUCAUAGGAUGUCCUAACAACUUACUAAAAAGCCUCCAGCUAAUUAAAAAUGCUGCAGCCAGAUUUCUGACGGGAAAGAGAGAUCACAUUUCUCCUAUAUUAGCUUCUCUGCACUGGCUGCCUAUAAAAUGUAGGAUAGAAUUUAAAAUUCUCCUACACACCUACAAAGCACUCAAUGAUAAAGCUCCUUCUUAUGUUUCCAGCAGAACACUUCGUUCACAAAGCGCUGGGCUACUUGUGGUUCCUAGAGUCUUUAAAUGUAGAACGGGAGGCAGAGCUUUUAGCUACCAAGCUCCUCUCCUCUGGAACCAGCUCCCUCUUCAGGUAUCAUCGGACUCUGAGCUUUGUCUGUGUGAUGGGCAGUCCCUGGUUCAACCGUCCUGUCUGUAUCCAGUCCCUGGUCCAACCAUCCUGCCUGUGCUCUGUUGUUGCUUGUUGCUGUUGCUGUGCUUUUCUCUUUGUCUUGUUUCUUACCCUAUAAUCUCCAGUACAAGACCCGGUCGGGCUCACACAUUAAAGUGAUUAUAUUGUUA